rnacentral:rRNA from 1 species
AGUUGUAAACCUCUUUCAAUAGGGACGAAGCGCAAGUGACGGUACCUAUAGAAGAAGGACCGGCCAACUACGUGCCAGCAGCCGCGGUAAUACGUAGGGUCCGAGCGUUGUCCGGAAUUACUGGGCGUAAAGAGCUCGUAGGUGGUUUGUCGCGUUGUUCGUGAAAACUCACAGCUUAACUGUGGGCGUGCGGGCGAUACGGGCAGACUAGAGUACUGCAGGGGAGACUGGAAUUCCUGGUGUAGCGGUGGAAUGCGCAGAUAUCAGGAGGAACACCGGUGGCGAAGGCGGGUCUCUGGGCAGUAACUGACGCUGAGGAGCGAAAGCGUGGGGAGCGAACAGGAUUAGAUACCCUGGGGGUAGUCA